GGUGUAUUGGCUAUUCAUAGUGAGGCUACUUAGUUUGACUGUACGUUCUCUUGAUCCCUAGUCAUUCGGAUCUUUGCUGUGUAUGUUGACUAUUAUAGGUUCAGAUUCGCUGUUUGGAGUAAGAUACACCUAGAUAGAAUCUAUCAACCUUGGUAGAAAAGGAGUAGUCCUAUACGAUUCGUAAGACUAAGUUCAAGAAGUCUCUAGCUAAGACAAGUGUGAAU
rnacentral:lncRNA from 1 species